rnacentral:rRNA from 1 species
GGUUAAGCGACUAAGCGUACACGGUGGAUGCCCUGGCAGUCAGAGGCGAUGAAGGACGUGCUAAUCUGCGAUAAGCGUCGGUAAGGUGAUAUGAACCGUUAUAACCGGCGAUUUCCGAAUGGGGAAACCCAGUGUGAUUCGUCACACUAUCAUUAACUGAAUCCAUAGGUUAAUGAGGCGAACCGGGGGAACUGAAACAUCUAAGUACCCCGAGGAAAAGAAAUCAACCGAGAUUCCCCCAGUAGCGGCGAGCGAACGGGGAGCAGCCCAGAGCCUGAAUCAGUGUGUGUGUUAGUGGAAGCGUCUGGAAAGGCGCGCGAUACAGGGUGACAGCCCCGUACACAAAAAUGCACAUAUU